rnacentral:rRNA from 1 species
AGCGAACGCUGGCGGCAGGCCUAACACAUGCAAGUCGAACGAACCUUUCGGGGUUAGUGGCGGACGGGUGAGUAACACGUGGGAACGUGCCUUUAGGUUCGGAAUAACUCAGGGAAACUUGUGCUAAUACCUAAUGUGCCCUUCGGGGGAAAGAUUUAUCGCCUUUAGAGCGGCCCGCGUCUGAUUAGCUAGUUGGUUGAGGUAAUGGCUCACCAAGGCGACGAUCAGUAGCUGGUCUGAGAGGAUGAUCAGCCACAUUGGGACUGAGACACGGCCCAAACUCCUACGGGAGGCAGCAGUGGGGAAUCUUGCGCAAUGGGCGAAAGCCUGACGCAGCCAUGCCGCGUGAAUGAUGAAGGUCUUAGGAUUGUAAAAUUCUUUCACCGGGGACGAUAAUGACGGUACCCGGAGAAGAAGCCCCGGCUAACUUCGUG